UUCAGGUUACUUUAUUGGUACCCGUAGGUAAACUAGGUUUCAGUCUAAGAGGCAGGACAUCCUUAAAACUUUGUAGAGUACCACAUAACAUACAACACACAAAACACUGAAACAUGGCCAGGUACCAGAAUUGUCACUAUGAGACAACUUCCUAAUUACUAAGGUGUCUCUUUCAGAAUCAAAUAUGGCACAAUCAUAUCUCCAAUAGAUUACAUCAAAAUUAUUUUUGUACAUUGACAUUAUCAGCUGUACAGGGCUAUUAGCAAAGUGCUAUUCAUGAAUAAGUAUGUCUUGCAUUUGCUUUUAUGUGAUAAGUAGGUGGUAAAAAUAAAUUAUCUCACAAUACAAUGCAGUUGUCGUGCAGAAAAUGGCUCAUAAAGUUUGUUUAUUGUUGAGAUUUUCUUUAACCUUGAUGGUCAUUUUUGUGAUCAUGACACCUCAAAGUGUAAAUAUUGUUCAACCAUGACUCAACAUUUCCACUUUAUUAUUAUGAAUUUGAUACAUGUUACAGUAAGUCAACAUUAAGUCCUGGUAUUAUUAGUUACUUCUUUGUUCAUGUUUCAAAUAUACAUAGUUUUAUCUACAUUACUAUUAAAAAAUAUUCAUGGCUACAACAACAGCCAAACAUCAUGAUAAUUAAUACACAUGUUUUGAGCCACUGUAAAUGCUAAAUGUCUGCUGUGGAAAUAAGACCCAUUCUAAAGGCUAAUAUUAAAGCUUAAAUAUGGGCUUAGAUUAUAAAAUAUCUUGGAAAAUGAAGAGACGCUUAUUUCAUGAAGGACAGAAAGACAGAAUAUUUUCCACUUUUGAAAACAGGUCAUACAUAUGCAUUUAUAGCUGACAAAUUGGUGGUGGUUGUGAUCCCAGAGAUGCUGCUGCCUCUGCUGCCACUGGUGGUCCUUGGUUUUCUGCUCUCACUAAUCUCUGUAUGAGCCAACAACUGAAUG